rnacentral:rRNA from 1 species
CAUUACUGAAUGCGAAAGCAUUUUCUUGUCGUUUGUCUUGUUGCUUUGGGGAAACCCAAACAUACUCUUACUAUAGUCGUCUGAUAACAACCUAAUAAUCAAAACUUUCAACAACGGAUCUCUUGGUUCUGGCAUCGAUGAAGAACGCAGCGAAAUGCGAUACGUAAUGUGAAUUGCAGACACCGUGAAUCAUCGAAUCUUUGAACGCACAUUGCGCCUGCUGGUAUUCCGGCAGGCAUGCCUGUUCGAGCGUCAUUACACCUUCACAUGGUUUUGGAGAUUCGCCCUGGCGACCUCUUAAAGACAAUGGUGAUAACUAUUCUACACGCAAAGUACUCUCUGCGACGUGGCGAUAGGUGCACACCGAAAACCUCUUGUUUGACCUCGGAUCAGGUAGGGAUACCCGCUGAACUUAAGCAUAUCAAUAAGCGGAGG